rnacentral:rRNA from 1 species
GGUGGACGGGGUGAAUAUCCCAAGGCGCGUGAGAGAACCCUGGUUAAGGAACUCGCAAAUUGACACCGUAACUUCGGGAGAAGGUGUGCCGCUGGCGGUUAGUGACUUCGCGUCACGAAGCUGUCGGUGGUCGCAGUGAAAUGGCGGUUGUGACUGUUUACUAAAAACACAGGACUCUGCGAAGUCGUAAGACGACGUAUAGGGUCUGAUGCCUGCCCGGUGCUGGAAGGUUAAGGGGAUAUGUCAGCGCAAGCGAAGCAUUGAACCGAAGCCCCAGUAAACGGCGGCCGUAACAAUAACGGUCCUAAGGUAGCGAAAUUCCUUGUCGGGUAAGUUCCGACCUGCACGGGCAUAACAACAUCCGCACUGUCUCGACCAGGGACUCAGCGAAAUUACAUUGGGGGUGAAGAUGCCCUCUACCCGCGGAAAGACGGAAAGACCCAUGAACCUUUACUGCAACUUGGCAGUGAUUUUCGGGUUGUUCUGCGUAGGAUAGGUGGGAGGCUUUGAAGCCGGGCUUCCGGGUUCGGCAGAGCCAACGUUGAAAUACCACCCUGAAUAAUCUGGAAAUCUAACCUGCGCCCAUGAUCUGGGCGAGGGACACUGCCUGGUGGGCAGUUUGACUGGGGCGGUCGCCUCCUAAAUUGUAACGGAGGCGUGCGACGGUUCCCUCAGGCUGAUUGGAAACCAGCCGUAGAGUGCAAACGCAUAAGGGAGCUUUACUGCGAGACUGACAAGUCGAACAGUUGCGAAAGCAGGUGUUAGUGGUCCGGUGGUACCACAUGGAAGGGCCAUCGCUCAUCGGAUAAAAGGUACUCUGGGGAUAACAGGCUGAUCGCGCCUGAGAGUUCACAUCGGCGGCGCGGUUUGGCACCUCGAUGUCGGCUCAUCGCAUCCUGGGGCUGGAGCAGGUCCCAAGGGUUUGGCUGUUCGCCAAUUAAAGCGGUACGCGAGCUGGGUUUAAAACGUCGUGAGACAGUUUGGUCCCUAUCUUCCGUGGGCGCAGGACACUUGAGAGGAGCUAUCCAUAGUACGAGAGGACCUGGAUGGACGAACCUCUGGUGCUCCGGUUGUCACGCCAGUGGCAUAGCCGGGUAGCCAUGUUCGGAACAGAUAACCACUGAAGGCAUAUAAGCGGGAAGCUGGCCUCAAGACUAGGUGUCCCAGACGCAAGUCACUAAAGGCCCCUCGAAGACUACGAGGUUGAUAGGCUCGGUGUGGAAGCGCUGCGAGGCGUGGAGCUAACGAGUACUAAUAGGCCGUGCGACUUGACCAC